UACGGAGGGUGCAAGCGUUAAUCGGAAUUAUUGGGCGUAAAGAGCUCGUAGGCGGUCUGUCGCGUCGGCUGUGAAAACUCGGGGCUCAACUCCGAGCUUGCAGUCGAUACGGGCAGGCUAGAGUUCGGCAGGGGAGACUGGAAUUCCUGGUGUAGCGGUGAAAUGCGCAGAUAUCAGGAGGAACACCGGUGGCGAAGGCGGGUCUCUGGGCCGAUACUGACGCUGAGGCGCGAAAGCUAGGGGAGCAAACAGG
rnacentral:rRNA from 1 species